rnacentral:rRNA from 1 species
CACGUAGGGGGGCAAGCGUUGUCCGGAUUUAUUGGGCGUAAAGAGCUCGUAGGUGGUUCGGUAAGUCGGGUGUUAAACCCCCAGGCUCAACCUGGGGACGCCACUCGAUACUGCUGUGACUUGAGUCCGGUAGGGGAGCGUGGAAUUCCUGGUGUAGGCGGUGAAAUGCGCAGAUAUCAGGAGGAACACCGGUGGCGAAGGCGGUUCUCUGGGCCUUACCUGACGCUGUGGAGCGAAAGCGUGGGGAGCAAACAGG